GGUGAACGCUGGCGGUAGGCCUAACACAUGCAAGUCGAACGGCAGCACAGAGGAGCUUGCUCCUUGGGUGGCGAGUGGCGGGGGGGUGAGGAAUACAUCGGAAUCUACUCUGUCGUGAGGGAUAACGUAGGGAAACUUACGCUAAUACCGCAUACGACCUACGGGUGAAAGCAGGGGAUCUUCGGAACUUGCGCGAUUGAAUGAGCAGAUGUCGGAUUAGCUAGUUGGGGGGGUAAAGGCCCACCAAGGCGACGAUCCGGAGCUGGUCUGAGAGGAUGAUCAGCCACACUGGAACUGAGACACGGUCCAGACUCCUACGGGAGGCAGCAGUGGGGAAUAUUGGACAAUGGGCGCAAGCCUGAUCCAGCCAUACCGCGUGGGUGAAGAAGGCCUUCGGGUUGUAAAGCCCUUUUGUUGGGAAAGAAAUCCAUCUGGUUAAUACCCGGGUGGGAUGACGGUACCCAAAGAAUAAGCACCGGCUAACUUCGUGCCAGCAGCCGCCGUAA
rnacentral:rRNA from 1 species